rnacentral:rRNA from 1 species
AAUGAACGCUGGCGGCGUGCCUAACACAUGCAAGUCGAGCGAGAAAUUCCGCUUCGGCGGGAGAGUACAGCGGCGCACGGGUGAGUAACGCGUGGGUAAUCUACCCUUGAGUCCGGAAUAACACCCCGAAAGGAGUGCUAAUACAGGAUAAGACGGCAGCUAUUUUUGUGGCAGCGGUAAAAGGUGGCCUCUCCAUGGAAGCUAUUGCUUGAGGAUGAGCCCGCGUCCUAUCAGCUUGUUGGUAGGGUAAUGGCCUACCAAGGCUAAGACGGGUAGCUGGGCUGAGAGGACGACCAGCCACACUGGGACUGAGACACGGCCCAGACUCCUACGGGAGGCAGCAGUGGGGAAUAUUGCGCAAUGGGGGAAACCCUGACGCAGCGACGCCGUGUGAGUGAUGAAGGCUUUCGGGUUGUAAAGCUCUGUCAGGUGAGAGGAAAUUCUCUAUGGCUAAUAUCCAUAGGGAUCGACGGUAUCACCAGAGGAAGCACCGGCUAACUCCGUGCCAGCAGCCGCAGUAAUAC